rnacentral:rRNA from 1 species
UGCAGUCGUGCGACAGACCAGGAAUUGAUUACUUCGGUUUGAUUUUCCUGACGAUGAGCGGCGAACGGGUGCGUAACACGUGAGAAAUCUGCCCUUAAGUUCGGGAUAGCCCUACGAAAGUAGAAUUAAUACCGGAUGUGGCCCAGGGAGGGCAUCUUCCCCUGGCUAAAGCUCGGUUAUAGAGCGCUUUUGGAUGAUCUCGCGGUCUAUCAGCUUGUUGGUGAGGUAAUGGCUCACCAAGGCUAUGACGGAUAGCUGGUCUGAGAGGAUGAUCAGCCUCACUGGAACUGAGACACGGUCCAGACACCUACGGGUGGCAGCAGUCGAGAAUCAUUCACAAUGGGCGCAAGCCUGAUGGUGCGACGCCGCGUGGGGGAUGAAGGGCUUCGGUUCGUAAACCCCUGUCAUCUGUGAGUAAGACUCCCAAUAAAAGCUUGGGAGGUUGAUAUUAGCAGAAGAGGAAGGGACGGCUAACUCUGUGCCAGCAGCCGCGGUAAUACAGAGGUCCCAAGCGUUGUUCGGAUUUACUGGGCGUAAAGGGUGCGUAGGCGGCUAGAAAAGUUUGGUGUGAAAUCUUCGGGCUCAACCCGGAAACUGCACUGAAAACUAUCUGGCUAGAGGAUCGGAGAGGAGAUUGGAAUUCUCGGUGUAGCAGUGAAAUGCGUAGAUAUCGAGAGGAACACCAGUUGCGAAGGCGGAUCUCUGGACGGUUUCUGACGCUGAGGCACGAAAGCUGGGGUAGCGAAGAGGAUUAGAUACCCUCGUAGUCCCAGCCGUAAACGGUGCACACUUGCUGUGGGCGGAUUCGACCCCGUCCGUGGCGAAGCUAACGCGAUAAGUGUGCCGCCC